AGGUCUUGGGAAGUCCACAUUUCUCCACCCUGCUCAGUUUAUCAAGGUCAGGAUGUCUGCACCAUACUCAAGAUUAAGUAUCUGGGGAAAAAGGCAACAGACAUGUGCAGGAAACAGCUGACAGACUUGUGGGCUGUCCUAUCAUCGGUACAGAUGAGACACAGAAAAGUGAUGUAAAAACAUCUAUAUAAGGCACGUCACUUCCUGUCUCUUCCUCUUUCCCUGGAGAGAUGACUCUGACUGGCAGUGUGCUAAGUGUUCCAACAUCUUGGCAUGGUGGCAGCUAUUGUCUGGGUUGGUGGUCUUCAACAGCAGUGUUGUUCUUGUCGAAUCAGUCCUGGUGGUUGCGUUGCUUGGGGCCUAGGACUACCUUUGAUGUUUCUGUCACCACGUCUCUGAACUGCUUCCAUUUUUUGGUUAGGCUUCCAAUGAGUGGUCCCUUGGCAGACAGCUGUCAUCCAGACAGGACUGUAAUGUUUGCAGAUAAAAUGGAUCUCUGAGAUGACUCACAUUGCAAGAAGAGUGAACUGUCUGGGUGCGUUUUGGAUGGCGAGGCACAAUGCGUAUUUGAAGAGUCGCUCUAACCAAUCGGUGGUCUGUCCAGCCUUCAACUCCUCUAAUGGCUCUGGUGAUCUUUACAUCCUGGAUGUCUCGCUGGCUUACAAUGAUGUAGUCAAUGAGAUGCCACUGUUUUGAUCAUGGAUGCAUCCACAUUGUUUUAUAUUUGUUCGCCAUUCUGAACACAGUGUUUGUGAUGGUGAGUUUGAACUCUGAGCAUUUGCUAAGUAGCAGUAGGCCGUUGUUCAUUUUACCCAUGCCGUGUUUGCCGAGCACUCCUUUCCAUCUUUCAUGGUCCUGGCCAACACGGGCUUUGAAGUCUCCCAGUAGUAUCAGCUUGUCAUUUGUGGGCAAUGAGUGCAGGAUGGCGCUCAGGUCAGAGUAGAACUGCUCGAUGGUCUCCUCUGUGCUGGUCAGUGUUGGGGCAUAUGCACUGAUGAUUGUGGCAUACCGGUCUUUGCUGAGAGGUAGGCAGAUCUUCAUGAGCCUCUUGUUGAUGCCCACAGGCAAGUCUGACAGCUGUUUGAGUAAGCUGGUCUAGAAGGCCAGGCCAACACCGUGGAUUUUGUCUUCACUUGUAGCUCUACCUUUCCAGAAGAAGGUUUAUCCAGUGGUGGAUUCGCUGAGUGAUCCCUCUUCUAGUAAGCAUGUUUCGCUUAAGGCUGCGAUGUCGAUGUUAUAUCGCGCCAGUUCUUUACCAAUUAAAGCUGUUCUUCUCUCAGGUCUUGGGCUAUUCUCUCUGUCAAGUAAUGUUCUGAUGGUCCAUGCUCCUAGUAGGAGUUUCCAAAAGCAGUUUCUUUAGAGUUGCCAAUGACUUUUCUUAUUGGGAUACAUAUCAUUUUAACUUAUUGAGUCUCUUAAUAUUUUUGGGUUUUUUUGUUUGCUUUUCUUUUUUCCCCUCUUUUUAAAUUACCUUUUGAUGAUUCUCUUGAAUUCUGUGCU
rnacentral:lncRNA from 1 species